rnacentral:rRNA from 1 species
AGAGUUUGAUCCUGGCUCAGAAUGAACGCUGGCGGCGUGCCUAACACAUGCAAGUCGCACGAGAAAGUCCCAGCUUGCUGGGGCGAGUACAGUGGCGCACGGGUGAGUAACGCGUGGGUAAUCUACCUCCGAAUUGGGGAUAACACUGCGAAAGCGGUGCUAAUACCGAAUGACAUCCCCGAGACUCCGGUCUUGGUGAUCAAAGGUGGCCUCUACAUGUAAGCUACCGUUUGGAGAUGAGCCCGCGUACCAUUAGCUUGUUGGUAGGGUAACGGCCUACCAAGGCUGCGAUGGUUAGCUGGUCUGAGAGGAUGAUCAGCCACACUGGAACUGACACACGGUCCAGACUCCUACGGGAGGCAGCAGUGAGGAAUUUUGCGCAAUGGGGGAAACCCUGACGCAGCAACGCCGCGUGAGUGAUGAAGGCCUUCGGGUCGUAAAGCUCUGUCAAGUGGGAAGAACCUGCUUCGCGAUAAUACCGCGAAGCACUGACGGUACCACUGAAGGAAGCACCGGCUAACUCCGUGCCAGCAGCCGCGGUAAUACGGGGGGUGCUAGCGUUAUUCGGAAUCAUUGGGCGUAAAGGGCGCGUAGGCGGUCUCCUAAGUCAGAUGUGAAAGCCCUCGGCUAAACCGAGGAAGUGCAUUUGAUACUAGGUGACUUGAGUAUGGGAGAGGGAAGCGGAAUUCCUGGUGUAGCGGUGAAAUGCGUAGAUAUCAGGAGGAACACCGGUGGCGAAGGCGGCUUCCUGGACCAAUACUGACGCUGAGGCGCGAAGGCGUGGGGAGCAAACAGGAUUAGAUACCCUGGUAGUCCACGCAGUAAACGGUGAACACUAGGUGUAGCGGGUAUUGACCCCCGCUGUGCCGAAGCUAACGCAUUAAGUGUUCCGCCUGGGAAGUACGGCCGCAAGGCUAAAACUCAAAGGAAUUGAUGG